ACAGCUCUUUCCCCAGUCUUCUACCGCUUACAUUUUUUUCUGUAUUUCCUUUUUCCAUGUUCCCUGAAUCUUACAGGAUGAUAGAAGUGUCCUGUUCAGGACUGAGUGCUCUCAAACUGUUCUGUUCCAGCUUCAUUCCUCUAUACCUUGCAACAGAGGUAGGAGAUAUCUUCAAAAAUAGGCUCUUAUCAACUGUCUAUAAUGGCCAACCAAGAGGAGUAAUAUUAUUUUGGUGACAUUAUUGACCAACAACUCAUAAAGGUGGUAUCCCACUCCUGGUACUAGGAUUUUGUUUAAUAACUCAUGACAGUAACAAAAGCAUUAUCCAGAGCUUGAAAGAACAAUACUCAACUUUGGAUGGAAAAAUAAAAACCCAGGAUAUCUAAAACAAUCCCAAAUAAUUCUGGGGAUAUCACCAUCCCUGAUUUCAAGCUGCACUAUAGAGCAAGAGUAAUAUAAAGCACACGGUAUUGGCAUAAAAACAGCCAUGUUGAUCAAUGCUUAAUGAAAUAGAAUUGAAGACCCAGAUGGAAAUCCACACACCUAUGGACACCUGAAUUUUAAGAAAGAAGCCAAAAAUACACAAUGAAAAGAAGAGAGCAUCUUCAACAAAUGGUGCUUAUCUAACUGGAUGUUUUGCAUGUAGAAGAAUACAAAUAUAUCCAUAUCUAUCACCUAGCACAAAACUCAAGUAGAAGUGGAUCAAAGACCUCAAUGGUAAUAUCAGAUACAUUGAAUAUGGUGAGGAAGUGGAGAAUAACCUUGAAUUCAUUGGCACAAAAGAAGAUUUUCUGAAAAGAACACCAAUAGCACAUGCACUAAGAUAAAUGGGACCUCAUGAGACUGAAAAGCAUUUGUAAAGCAAAGGACUCUGUCAGUAGGACAAGACCACAGCACACAGAAUGGGAAAAGAUUUUCACCAACUCUGUAUCUGACAGAGGGCUAAUAUCCAAAAUAUAUAAAGAAUUCAAGAAACUAGAUGUCAACAAACUAAGUAAUCCAAUAAAAAAAAUGGGGUACAGAUCUAAGCAGAGAAUUCUAAACAGAGAAAUCUCAAAUGGCCCAGGAAAACACUUGAAGAAAUGUUCAACAUCCUUAGUCAUCAAGGGAAUGCAAAUCAAAACAAAUUUGAGAUUCUAUCUUACACCUGACAGAAUGGCUAAGAUCAAACCCCUCAAAUGACAGUUCAUGCUGGUGAGGAUGUGAAGCGAGAGGAACACUCCUCCAUGGCUGCUGGGACUCUAUUUUGAUGAGUCUCCCACCCCUUCGUCUUCUCCAUUCUCCCACUUCCCAGCUUUACUUGAAUCUUUUUUACUCUCAGGCAUUCCCUCUCUACUCUGACAUAAGCUAUGGUCUGUUAUUUCCCCCUCCCUUAGGUCCCAUCUCAAUAAACCUCUUUUUGUUUCUUAGUUUUUAUAGAUGAUUCAAGGUCAACAAUGCAAAUCAGAAAUAAGUAACCAGGAUUGCCGCAUGGAAGGGAGCAGCUAGCAUCUGUGUUUCUAUGCCUGGGUUACUUCACAACUGAACAGAAUCUCUUUGUGUCUGUGUACCACAUAGACAUCUAUGCUGAUUCCUUUUUUUUUUUUUUUAAAGCUAUUGUGAAUAGAGCUGUGGUGGGCAUAGAUGAAUGUGUAUCUCUGUACUAGUAUGUAGAGUGUAGAGUCCUUUGGGUAUAUGCCUAAGGAUAAGCGUAGCUGGUUCUUGUGGUAGUUUUAUUUCUAGCUUUUAAAGGAACCUUCAGGUUGAUUUCUAUAUAGGCUAUACCAGUUCACAUUCCCACCAACAGUGAGCAAAUAUUACUCCUUUUUUUUUUUUAGCAACAUUUAUUUUCUUUAUUUCUUUAUAUUAACCAUUUUGAAUGUUAAAUAAAAUGUUUAGUUAUUAUUAGUACAGAGGGGCUAAAAUGGACUUGUGGAUUCUAGCAUGAAAGCUGUUGCCAUGCUGUAGAGACUGAGGUAGCUCAGGUAAGGGUAAAGGAUUCCUUUCCUGACCCUCUGCAUCAUUUUCAUGAUAACAUGAGAGAAAUUGGAGACAUUUCAGAGGUUAAUCUGCAAAUACUGUCUUUAUCAUGAUAAUCAAGGAAUCUAAGUGAUGUUUGCCUUAGAAUAUUUCCUUUUGACACCAGUCUCAGCAGGUGACACUACUUGGGUCAUAAAACAAUUUCUGAAGAUAGGAGGAUUAAGAGAGCUUUGAAGACAGUGUCCAUCAAGAUGCUGCCAUUUUGUACUCAGAUGCUCUAAAUCCUUCUGAGGGUGGGCUCUUCCACGUUGUCACACAAUUCCCAUAUCACUAGUUAACCAUCCUUGCUCAAUGAGCAUAUGACUAAACUCACUUCAUUAGAUCAUGUCGCCAGCCAGUAAAGGUUCACUUCAGAAUUAACCUGGUGUGGUUAGGUUAAGUCAGAACGGUGGCUAGUCCUUGCUUAUUUUCUUGUUUGAGCUUCACUACAGAUGACUUUGGGGCAGUUUUGCCAAGGAGUGGGAGAGCCUCAGUGUCUUUGAGGAAACAAAGGAAGAAAUAGAGAGGUAAAAUUGGGUAGACACUGAAGGAAGAACAUGUUCCACUUUCAUAAGGAAGGUUGAGCUUCCUCUCCUGUUCCCCUUAACUAUACAGGUAACCUAGUAGAGACACCAAGACUUGCUGGUCAUAUUUAUUCUUCUAUUAAAUUGAUUCCUUUAUUUGUUUUCUUGCAGUGAGAAGAAAGGACUGAGGCUGUUGCACAGGCUAGACAUAUGUUCUCCCAUUGAUCUACAUCUACAGCCCAAUUUACCUUUCUAUUUAAUGAUGACAGUAAAUAUUUUCUUUAGG
rnacentral:lncRNA from 1 species